GACUGUAGCUCAGUGGAAGAGCAUCUGCUUUGCAUGCAGAAGACCUCAAGUUCAGCCCCUAGCAUCUCCA